NNCCAGCUCCAAUAGCGUAUGCUAAAGUUGCUGCGGUUAAAAAGCUCGUAGUUGGAUCUCAGUUGCAGGCGGGAAGGGCAUCUAAACGAUGCGACGGCCCGCACUGAACAUCAUGCCUGCCGUUCCUUGGUCCCCUUCAUUGGGUGCCUUGGGGUGGUCGGUGCAUUUACUUUGAAAAAAUUAGAGUGCUCAACGCAGGCGCAUUGCCUGAAUAACUAUGCAUGGAAUAAUAGAACAAGACCCCGUUUCUGUUCUGUUGGUUUUUUGG
rnacentral:rRNA from 1 species